GACGAACGCUGGCGGCGUGCUUAACACAUGCAAGUCGAACGGGGCUCAUCGCUUCGGUGGUGGGUCUAGUGGCGAACGGGUGAGUAACACGUGGGCAACCUGCCCCCGGCUCUGGGAUAACUCCAAGAAAUUGGGGCUAAUACCGGAUGUGACCGCUGGCCGCAUGGUCUGGUGGUGGAAAGGGUUUCCGGCUGGGGAUGGGCCCGCGGCCUAUCAGCUUGUUGGUGGGGUAGUGGCCUACCAAGGCGACGACGGGUAGCCGGCCUGAGAGGGUGACCGGCCACACGGGGACUGGGACACGGCCCAGACUCCUACGGGAGGCAGCAGUGGGGAAUAUUGCGCAAUGGGCGGAAGCCUGACGCAGCGACGCCGCGUGGGGGAUGACGGCCUUCGGGUUGUAAACCUCUUUCAGCAGGGACGAAGCCGCGAGGUGACGGUACCUGCAGAAGAAGCACCGGCCAACUACGUGCCAGCCGCCGCCGUAA
rnacentral:rRNA from 1 species